UAGGAACAUAGGCAGCUGCCAUAUACUGAGUCAGACCAUUGGUCUAUCUAGCUCAGUACUGUCUACUGGCAGCAGCUUCUUCAAGGUUUCAGGCAGGAGUUUCUCUCAGCCCUAUCUUGGAGAUGCUGCCAGGGAGGGAACUUGAAACCUUCUGCUCUUCCCAGAGGCAGCAGCUCCAUCCCCUGAGGGGAAUCUCUGACAGUGUUCACAUUUUCCAGAAGAACAAGGAUUCUGAGCAAUGAUUACUUUUUCCACCUCAACGGUCUACAUAGACCUGCAUUUUCCCAACAUGCUGCUGCUAAUCCCCCAGGAAGAGGCAGUAGUACACAAUGUACAGCAGAGAAGGACCACUUUGAUUCUAGUCCAGCAAAGCAGAUUGGGGUGAAGAGGACAAAGAAGUCAGUGUGCUGAGAGUUUGAAUGCCAAAAGCAGAAAGAGCAACUACAGGGACCUGGAAAGGAAUUGAGCAACUGCAAGGUGUUGGGUGAUGUUUUCCGGAAUAAUUCUUACCUGCUAUAUUCUUUGGGAUAACAUGAUUUAUAACACUGUAUAAGUGAUGCCCAUUUCUGUAUGUUGGAAACUGGAGCAUAGGGAGCUUUCAAUGAGGUAUGGUCAGACUCCUGCUUCAGGUGGUCCCCAGUAACAGACUGGGGACAGCAAAUGUGGACAGUAACUCAAAAUGUUGUGCCACUUAAGUGUGCCCCACAACCCUCUUCUUCUAGUAUUAGGAGGGUAGCAAUGUCUCCAGAAUGGUGCUAAAAUGAGUGUGAGUGCAUUGUACACAGGUAGUCUUUGAGAAGUACAAUACUAUGACAGA